rnacentral:rRNA from 1 species
CCUACGGGGGGCAGCAGUGGGGAAUAUUGGACAAUGGGGGGAACCCUGAUCCAGCCAUGCCGCGUGUGUGAAGAAGGCCCUCGGGUUGUAAAGCACUUUCAGUGAGGAAGAACGCCUGGUGGUUAAUACCCAUCAGGAAAGACAUCACUCACAGAAGAAGCACCGGCUAACUCCGUGCCAGCAGCCGCGGUAAUACGGAGGGUGCGAGCGUUAAUCGGAAUUACUGGGCGUAAAGCGCGCGUAGGUGGCUUGAUAAGCCGGUUGUGAAAGCCCCGGGCUCAACCUGGGAACGGCAUCCGGAACUGUCAAGCUAGAGUGCAGGAGAGGAAGGUAGAAUUCCCGGUGUAGCGGUGAAAUGCGGAGAGAUCGGGAGGAAUACCAGUGGCGAAGGCGGCCUUCUGGACUGACACUGACACUGAGGUGCGAAAGCGUGGGUAGCAAACAGGAUUAGAUACCCGAGUAGUC